GUCGUCAGCUCGUGUUGUGAAAUGUUGGGUUAAGUCCCGCAACGAGCGCAACCCUUAUCCUUUGUUGCCAGCGGUCCGGCCGGGAACUCAAAGGAGACUGCCAGUGAUAAACUGGAGGAAGGUGGGGAUGACGUCAAGUCAUCAUGGCCCUUACGACCAGGGCUACACACGUGCUACAAUGGCGCAUACAAAGAGAAGCGACCUCGCGAGAGCAAGCGGACCUCAUAAAGUGCGUCGUAGUCCGGAUUGGAGUCUGCAACUCGACUCCAUGAAGUCGGAAUCGCUAGUAAUCGUGGAUCAGAAUGCCACGGUGAAUACGUUCCCGGGCCUUGUACACACCGCCCGUCACACCAUGGGAGUGGGUUGCAAAAGAAGUAGGUAGCUUAACCUUCGGGAGGGCGCUUACCACUUUGUGAUUCAUGACUGGGGUGAAGUCGUAACAAGGUAACCGUAGGGGAACCUGCGGUUGGAUCACCUCCUUACCUUAAAGAAGC
rnacentral:rRNA from 1 species